rnacentral:tRNA from 1 species
GGCGGAUUACCCGAGCGGCCAAAGGGGGCUGACUGUAAAUCAGCUGGCACUGCCUACGGGGGUUCGAAUCCCUCAUCCGCCACC